CCCGUUUUGAAUGUGUUUUGUGUGUUUUUCGCGACAUUCACGCUGAAAAUAUGCUGCUGCUCAGUCUUUCGCCACUUAGCGGGCGUGACCGCAGUCCUAACGGUCGACGGUGACGUCACGUGCACACCCUCUAUUCCGCCCUCAGCGGGAUGUACGCUGUUUUCUCCGCGCUUGAGCAGCUGUAGCAACAACAAUGUCUGGUUUGAGGUGUCAUAAAUGACUGAUCCCUUGAUGUGGGUGAUGAUAUCUUCAUGAGAAGUGAAAUGACCGUCCGGAGAAAUCCAGCUUAUUUUGGACAGGUCUCUUCACAACUGAGUCAUCAUAUGCCAGAGGUGACAGACAUCUUGAGGAUGCCAUUAUUGUUUCUAACUUCAGAACAGCCUACCACAGCAACUUAAGUUUCAAGUUGGAAGACCAACUUCCCAAGACCAAGUUGGAUUUUGUUGCAGUUUUCCAAGUCCACAGGCUGCUAGCCUGACCAUGAUUCACGUAUUGGACUGAUCCCCACUCUUUUGCAAUCCUGGGCAGCGCUUGAUCCAGUCGGAUAACGAAGAGAUUGAUAACAGACCUAUUGAGAUAGAGCGCUCCCUCAGUGUAUUUGCCAGCCUGUAAAUCAGCGAGACUGAAUCAUCUUUUAGAUGGAGGAGCCUGGCGGAAAGGAGCAGAGACACAGCUCAGCAGGGUGAUUCCUCACAUAAGCCAAGGUCUCAGAGGAGUUGAACUGCUGUAACUGCAUCUUCUUGGAUCCGUCUUCAAAUCUCCUCAAGCUCACAGAUGACACAACUCUAAUUGGCUUCAUAAUCAGGAGCCAUGAAUCUGCCUACAGAUGGGAGUUUUAAUGGCUGUGUUAGUGUGAAGCCACAGACGCCUGUUGCUUAAUACUUUCAAGACAACAGAGAUGAUUGUUGACUUCUGGAGCCAACUCAAACACCUGCUCUACUCUAAUCAAUAUCUCCAACGUGAUCUGAUUAAUAUUCAUAUAGUGUAGUUCUAGCACACAUUAGGAUAGUCACUAAAAUGUACGAAGCAAUGAAUGGACUUCUAAUGCAUCAACUACUCACAUUUCACAAAUCAACUUCGGAGACAUGCAUACGUUUAUGAAUUAAGGAUUCACAGAUAUUAAAUUUAUAAAACAGAUGAAGGCUUUACAUUUUAGAUGCUGUCAGUCAGCGUGUUGAAAAUUUAUGUUUUAGUGUCUAUUUACAUACAUACAUACAUACAUACGUACAUGUGUAUUCUAUAGAUUCAAAUAUGAAUGGCACCAGCUUGAUAUCUCAGCAAUCAACAGUUUCAAAGCUCCAGAGAUGGUCUAGGUCUUCAUGGGAAGCAUUCAGUCUGUGCUCAGCUCUUUUGUAAUGGGUCAGUUACUGCACAGGAACACUUUUAGCUUUUAAUGUAUCACCUGUUCUGCAAAGAGGGCCAUUAGAGUCAUUAGCCUGCUUUUCUUUAAUGACCUCUAUGAGACAAGGUCCAAUAUGUGGGUGGUUAGGAUCACUGGCUGUCCCUCAAACCUGAUUCUUUGAAACAUGAAACAUAAUUGGAACAUAAUUCAGAUGCAGCAAACCACACAGCACAACUGAGCAACACUGCUCCUUUAAACCUGCCAUCAUGUAGUCAGUAUCCCACAUGC